rnacentral:lncRNA from 1 species
CUUGAUCUGAGCCUGGCCAGAGCCUGUGGGUUGAAGACUUAGAGAACUCUCAGAAGAAGAAGAUCUUAAGACUCUGAAAAGCAAGCAAUGGAAGGAAAUACGAGGGAAAUUGACAUCAGACAUCAGAAAGUAAUUCGUGCCUAGGAUGCAGGUGGAAUCUUCUGCUUUGAAGCAUACCCUGUGGCAACGCGACCUCCCUGGGAACCUCUCCUAUCUACCUUCAGUCCCUAUGCAUCCGCUUCCUCCCAAUUCCUCUUGCCCUCACUCAUCAUAAGCAUAUGAGGAGGCUUUGGGAGGACAGUCUUAGUUGGAACAAGGGAAUAGGUAAAGGAGGAGCAGGGAGGAAGCAACAUGAAGACCGAAGGAGGGAAUAUGUUUAUAGCCAGAAUGGAAACUCAGUACUGCAGCCACAGAGACAAAGGAUUUUCAGGCUGUAGAGACCAGAGAAUGCUUGUCCUGGGAUGUGUGAGAGAUGGUUCCCAGAGAGACGCCUGGAAAUCAGAGACAAGGGUCAGCGAUGUUGGCAGAUGAGGAAACUGAGGCUAGGAGAAGUCAACCACGUCCCCUAGGGGUCACAGAACCAGUCCAUGGCAGAGCCUGGUGUUCUCACCCAGACCUGACUAAUUUGAAGGCUCACGGCCACAGUUUCCCCACAUCCUCUCCUGUGCUAACCUGGAUUACCCACCGCCUGCUCUCAACUGCUGGACUGCAUCAUAUGGUGUCAUCAGUAGAGGGAGGAGUACCAGGGGGUGUGUCUGUGUCUCUCCAGGCCCUAAACUACACAGCUAACCCUCACUAAUCCAAGAGGGUUAAGGAAAUGGGGUGGUGUAAUUCAUCUAACAUUCUGGUCUAAUUAAGCGUUUCCAUGUUUAUCGGGGCAAUCACCAAUUCUAAAAGGAGCAAAUGCAACGAAAUACACUCAAUGCUGAAACCUGA